UCGAGGAUGGUAUUCCCAGGGCUUUAGGGCUUAGGCCUACUGGGGAAGGAAAACACCAUGGCUCACCAUCAGCUCUUUCUGGCCUACACCAGGAUCUCCCUACUAUGAUAAUGUCCGUCCACUCUGCUACAGCGACUCGGAUGCAGUAUUACUAUGUUUUGACAUCAGCCGUCCAGAGACAGUGGACAGCGCACUCAAGAAGUGGAGGACAGAAAUCCUAGAUUAUUGUCCCAGCACCCGCGUUUUGCUCAUUGGCUGCAAGACAGACCUGCGAACAGACCUGAGUACUCUGAUGGAGCUGUCCCACCAGAAGCAGGCGCCCAUCUCCUAUGAGCAGGGUUGUGCAAUAGCAAAGCAGCUGGGUGCAGAAAUCUACCUGGAAGGCUCAGCUUUCACCUCAGAAAAGAGCAUCCACAGCAUCUUUCGGACGGCAUCCAUGCUGUGUCUGAACAAGCCUAGCCCACUGCCCCAGAAGAGCCCUG
rnacentral:sRNA from 1 species